UACGUAGGGUGCAAGCGUUGUCCGGAAUUAUUGGGCGUAAAGAGCUCGUAGGCGGUUCGUCGCGUCGGCUGUGAAAACCUGAGGCUCAACCUCAGGCCUGCAGUCGAUACGGGCGGACUUGAGUACUGCAGGGGAGACUGGAAUUCCUGGUGUAGCGGUGAAAUGCGCAGAUAUCGGGAGGAACACCGGUGGCGAAGGCGGCGAUCUGGGUCGAUACUGACGCUGAGGUGCGAAAGCGUGGGGAGCAAACAGG
rnacentral:rRNA from 1 species